UUUAAAAAUAUUAAACAAGACUCAAGGACACAAAACUAGGCUAAAAACUCUAAUAACUCGAAACACACUUAAGAUGACUCAAAAUAAUGAAAAUAAUCAAAUUAAACACUAGGAACUGAAAUGGACGGAAAUCGAAUUGAAAGACUAACAAUAAUGAAAACUAACUAAAUAAUAUAAUUUAAUAAUGGAAGGGUGUUUGGUUUUGACAAACUUAAAUAAAUUACAGAAUUGACAAAAACAUGAAAUUAAGGUGAAA
rnacentral:lncRNA from 1 species